rnacentral:misc_RNA from 1 species
AACGAGGCCGACCUGCGGCUGAGUUACCUGCGGAGGGAUCAUUACAAACAGUAGAUCUUCUACUGAACAGAGCGAGUCUGAAAGCGUUUCGGCGUGAGUAGGCUCUCUGUCUACACCCUUGUCUUUUGCGUACUCAUGUUUCCUCGGCGGGUCUGCCCGCCGGUUGGACAACUAUAAACCUUUUUAAUUUUCAAUCAGCGUCUGAAUACUUAUAAUUAUUUACAACUUUUAACAACGGAU